CCUACGGGACGCACCAGUGGGGAAUAUUGGACAAUGGGCGAAAGCCUGAUCCAGCAAUGCCGCGUGAGUGAUGAAGGCCUUAGGGUUGUAAAGCUCUUUUACCAGGGAUGAUAAUGACAGUACCUGGAGAAUAAGCUCCGGCUAACUCCGUGCCAGCAGCCGCGGUAAUACGGAGGGAGCUAGCGUUGUUCGGAAUUACUGGGCGUAAAGCGCACGUAGGCGGCGAUUCAAGUCAGAGGUGAAAGCCCGGGGCUUAACCCCGGAACUGCCUUUGAAACUAGAUUGCUAGAAUCCUGGAGAGGUUAGUGGAAUUCCGAGUGUAGAGGUGAAAUUCGUAGAUAUUCGGAAGAACACCAGUGGCGAAGGCGACUAACUGGACAGGUAUUGACGCUGAGGUGUGAAAGCGUGGGGAGCAAACAGGAUUAGAUACCCUAGUAGUC
rnacentral:rRNA from 1 species